rnacentral:misc_RNA from 1 species
AAGUCGUAACAAGGUAACCGUAGGUGAACCUGCGGUUGGAUCAUUAAAAAAUUGAUCAAGCGAAGCUUUGCUGCUUUGCUGGGUGCAAACCCAAACCCACUUGUGAAUCGUUUUUGUCUUUGGCGGUGGGGGCUUCUGACCGAGAUGCAAUGCUCUCUACGUUGGAACCCCCUGUCAGCAGCAACGGACCGAAAGGUUCGGUGUCUGCCGUGGACAAACCGCCAAACAUUUCUUCAACAACUCUUUUGCUACUUUUGUUUGUCUGAUAUAUUUUAUUUGUAUGAAUAUACAAAAACAACUUUUGGCAACGGAUCUCUUGGCUCUC